UACCACUAGUCUUACCCACGGCGGGCAUCCAUCUCUACCGGUCCCUAUCUCCUCGUCCCUAUCCCCAUCUCACCCCGCUUCCGCCUCCUCGUCCUCGGCUCCGAUGGCUCGCCUGCUAGCGCAAACCCUAGCCCGCCCCACGCCGGCCACCGGGGCCUCCCCGGUCUUCCUCCUCCCGCCGAUCCGGGGGAUUGCCAACAAGGUCGAGUUCAUCGAGAUCGACCUCGCCGCCGACGACGACGCCGGCGGUGCCGCCGCCACAGCCGGCGGCGGAUCCCCGGCGGCCGAGGUGGUGGGGAUCCGGCGCCUCGAGGAGGCCAUCCACGGCGUCAUGGUCCGCCGCGCCAGCCCCGACUGGCUCCCGUUCGUGCCCAACGGGUCCUUCUGGGUGCCCCCGCUGCGGCGCCCCCACGGGGUCGCCGAGCUCGUCGGCCGGAUCGCCGCGUCCGGGGUCGGCGUCUCCGGCGACGUGGCGUACGCGCCGGAGCCCUUUGUCCACAUGACGGAGGAGGAGGAGCUGUCUUUAUCCACCGCCCGGGGUUGGCCGUCGGCGGCCUACUUCGUUGAAGGGAAAUCUCCACAUUCAAAGAAGAGAUCAAGGAAAGAUGCUGCUCAAACCGAUGAUGAAGAAAGCUGAUUACAUUGUACUCCAUUGUCAGGGGGUAAAUUCAAACUGAACAUGUUUUCAGGGUAAAUUCAAACUGAACAUGUUUUCAGGGUAACUAUGACAGUUUGUCAUGCCCUUUUAUUAUAAGUCUGGACCCAUCUCAUCUUGUCUCAUCAAGCUGGAGCAACGAUGGCUGCUCUACUUUCAUGAAGAUGUUGCGAUGACCACCAUUUCAUACUCCAAACAUGGAAACAACACAAAAAGCUCCUACAGAAAAAGGCAGCAUAGAGUUGCAUAGCUCUGCUGUGAACGAUGUACAUACCGAAGGCAAGGACCCCAGCGUCGAUUAAUUGCUCCAUCCCUCGCACUUGAAGAUGAACUGUUGCAACUGCUGCAGGAAGAUUGUAACACUGUAUAUUUCACAAUGAAGUUUUAGUGUGUAUUGUAUCAACCAGCCCUUGCGCCAUAAUUUCGUUUGUAAUAAUAAGAAAGGAGAGGGGAGCAGGAAGCUUGUUUCUCCAAACGGUCAGCAAGAGCCACUCUGUGGCUGGACUCUAGCAAGGAUUUUGGAGGGCUUGUAGUUCCAUGCCAAUUGAGAUGGACAGAAAAAGAAAGUGAGACAAACAUCUGUCCCCCUCUUUGAUCUUGUAUAGCUACCAUAUGAAACUGUGUUAAGCUUCCCUGGAUCAUAUUAUAUUUAUAUAUUCAGAUGAACACAAUUUCUAGUUUGUUAAGAGUGAUAACUGUGGUAGUCAUGUGAACAUGCAUGUAUUCAUUUAAAUUCUAGAGCGACAAUUUCAAA